rnacentral:rRNA from 1 species
UAAGCAUAUCAAUAAGCGGAGGAAAAGAAACCAACAGGGAUUGCCCCAGUAACGGCGAGUGAAGCGGCAACAGCUCAAAUUUGAAAUCUGGCCUUCGGGUCCGAGUUGUAAUUUGGAGAGGAUGCUUCUGGCGCGGCGCCGUCCGAGUUCCUUGGAACAGGACGCCAUAGAGGGUGAGAGCCCCGUACGGGCGGACGCCUAGCCUUUGUGAAGCUCCUUCGACGAGUCGAGUAGUUUGGGAAUGCUGCUCAAAAUGGGAGGUAAAUUUCUUCUAAAGCUAAAUACCGGCCAGAGACCGAUAGCGCACAAGUAGAGUGAUCGAAAGAUGAAAAGCACUUUGAAAAGAGGGUUAAAAAGUACGUGAAAUUGUUGAAAGGGAAGCGCCUGUGACCAGACUUGCUGCCCGCGGAUCAUCCGGCGUUCUUCGCCGGUGCACUCCGCGGGUGGCAGGCCAGCAUCGGUUCUCCUAGGGGGUUAAAGGCCGCGGGAACGUGGCUCCUUCGGGAGUGUUAUAGCCCGCGGCGUCAUGCCUCU